rnacentral:rRNA from 1 species
CAACGGAUCUCUUGGUUCUGGCAUCGAUGAAGAACGCAGCGAAAUGCGAUAAGUAGUGUGAAUUGCAGAAUUCAGUGAAUCAUCGAAUCUUUGAACGCACAUUGCGCCCUUUGGUAUUCCAAAGGGCAUGCCUGUUCGAGCGUCAUU